rnacentral:rRNA from 1 species
GAUGAACGCUGGCGGCGUGCCUAAUACAUGCAAGUCGAGCGAACGGACGAGAAGCUUGCUUCUCUGAUGUUAGCGGCGGACGGGUGAGUAACACGUGGAUAACCUACCUAUAAGACUGGGAUAACUUCGGGAAACCGGAGCUAAUACCGGAUGAUAUUUUGAACCGCAUGGUUCAAAAGUGAAAGACGGUCUUGCUGUCACUUAUAGAUGGAUCCGCGCUGCAUUAGCUAGUUGGUAAGGUAACGGCUUACCAAGGCAACGAUGCAUAGCCGACCUGAGAGGGUGAUCGGCCACACGGGAACUGAGACACGGUCCAGACUCCUACGGGAGGCAGCAGUAGGGAAUCUUCCGCAAUGGGCGAAAGCCUGACGGAGCAACGCCGCGUGAGUGAUGAAGGUCUUCGGAUCGUAAAGCUCUGUUAUUAGGGAAGAACAUAUGUGUAAGUAACUGUGCACAUCUUGACGGUACCUAAUCAGAAAGCCACGGCUAACUACGUG